rnacentral:rRNA from 1 species
GGGUCAGGAGGUUGGUCGUGCCACCGGUACGUACUGGUCUCACUGAUUCCUCCUUCCUGAAGAACCGUAAUGCCAUUAAUUUGGUGUUGCGGUGAAACAGGACUGUUACUUUGAAAAAAUUAGAGUGUUUAAAGCAAGCUAACGCUUGAAUACAUUAGCAUGGAAUAAUGAAUUAGGACGAUCGAUCCUAUUUUGUUGGUUUCUAGGAUUGACGUA